UACGAGGGGGGCAAGCGUUGUUCGGAAUUAUUGGGCGUAAAGGGCGCGUAGGCGGUUUGGUAAGUCUUAUGUGAAAUCUACAGGCUCAACUUGUAGUCUGCAUGAGAAACUGCCGGGCUUGAGUAUGGGAGAGGUGAGUGGAAUUCCUGGUGUAGCGGUGAAAUGCGUAGAUAUCAGGAGGAACACCUGUGGCGAAAGCGGCUCACUGGACCAUAACUGACGCUGAUGCACGAAAGCGUGGGGAGCAAACAGG
rnacentral:rRNA from 1 species